rnacentral:rRNA from 1 species
UACGAGGGGUGCAAGCGUUGCUCGGAAUUAUUGGGCGUAAAGGGUAGGUAGGUGGUCUCGUUUGUCUGGGGUGAAAUCCUUGAGCUUAACUCAAGAAGUGCCCUAGAAACGGCGAGACUGGAGUACUGGAGAGGGUCGUGGAAUUCCCGGUGUAGCGGUGAAAUGCGUAGAGAUCGGGAGGAACACCAGAGGCGAAGGCGGCGAUCUGGACGAUGACUGACGCUGAGACGCGAAAGCGUGGGGAGCAAACAGG